rnacentral:tRNA from 1 species
UCAUAGCUCAGUAGGUAGAGCGCCACCUUGGUAAGGUGGAGGUCACCGGUUCAAUUCCGGUUGUUA